UUAUAAUAUUGUGAUUUGAAAGGAUUUAUUAAUGCGAUGAUCUUUGCGCAGCAUUCGCGUUCGUAAAUAAUCAUGAAAAUCACUUCUCCCUUUCGAUAAAAUAAAAUAUAUACUGAUAAUCCGUACGUGCAAAAAUAUGUAUACAUAUUGUGUACAUAUAUGGCCAGAAGAAUUGCAAGAUAUUAUUUGGUGAAUUGUUUUCUUAAUUCUUGAUUAAUUAAUCAAUGAAAGCUUGAAUAUAUUCUAUAUGAAACGACAGGAUAAUUUAGUAAUACCACUUAUAUAUGAAAAAGAACAGUGCUUAUUCUUCGAAUAAUAACAGGUUUUGCUAGUUCACUUGACAGGCGCACUUCGCAGAAUGCUUACUGAGUUGGUGAAGUAGGCACAUGAAGAUCAAAAUUAUAACUUGUUGAGAUUGGCACAGAGAUUGGAGACAAUGGGGUCUGGGUGUUGUACACAUAGGAUUUUCCUCGAUAAGGAUCCGGCUUGAUUAUCUCCAAGGACUCAACGGGCACUUCAGGCAGAUAACGUGAUGGAUGACACGGCUCGCCAUACGUAACUAUUUUAACUCCGUUAUAUGGCAAUCUGCUAGGAA